CGAUUAACCUCAGCACCGUUAUUAGUCACACCCAAUUUCGAGAAACCGUUUAUAAUUCAAUGCGAUGCAUCCAAUAUCGGUGUCGGUGGAGUCCUGGCCCAGUUGGACGAAGAUGGCAUAGAACGGCCAAUUGCAUAUUUUUCUUAUAAGCUAAAUCAAGCCCAACAAAAAUACUGUGUAACCGAAUUGGAGUGUUUAGCUGCAGUAUUGAGCAUAGAGAAAUUUAGGGAGUAUGUAGAGGGUCUGGAGUUCAAAGUCGGUUUCAAGCCCCAAACGGUAAUUACAUAACCCCCCGCUUUGACAUGUGGCUGAUAAAAUUUUUCUUCGCCAAAAGGGGUCUGAGCUUUGCCAGUCGAUCUCGCUUUCUCCAGUGUAAUUUAAUAUUGACGAAAGUUAUCCAACGGAGGUCAAACUUCUGCCGCACAACGAAAAUUUGCGAUCAACCUUAUUUUUGACCUUGGCAGAGGACAUACAGUUGCCUCUGAAAUUCUAUGUCGUGGCCUGGAUAGGCACAGACAUAUCCAUAUCGGAUGUCUUCAAGGAAAAGGAUUGACACACACACACACACACUGAAUUCAACCGACACAUCAAUGCAUGCAGGCCUGUUGCAGCGAUGGAAAACCAAACUUGCUGUAACUGUAGAUAAAUAAGAUGUUAUGAAGAUUUGAGGUGAUGCUGAGGAUGGUUGUUAGUUGGAGUGGAGUUA